AACGAACGCUGGCGGCAGGCCUAACACAUGCAAGUCGAGCGCCCUUUCGGGGGAGCGGCGGACGGGUGAGUACCGCGUGGGAAUAUGCCCUUCUCUACGGAAUAUCCUCGGGAAACUGAGAGUAAUACCGUAUACGCCCUGUGGGGGAAAGAUUUAUCGGGGAAGGAUUAGCCCGCGUUGGAUUAGGUAGUUGGUGGGGUAAUGGCCUACCAAGCCGACGAUCCAUAGCUGGUUUGAGAGGAUGAUCAGCCACACUGGGACUGAGACACGGCCCAGACUCCUACGGGAGGCAGCAGUGGGGAAUCUUAGACAAUGGGGGCAACACUGAUCUAGCCAUGCCGCGUGAGUGAUGAAGGCCUUAGGGUUGUAAAGCUCUUUCAGCUGGGAAGAUAAUGACGGUACCAGCAGAAGAAGCCCCGGCUAACUCCGUG
rnacentral:rRNA from 1 species